GACGAACGUUGGCGGCGUGCCUAAUACAUGCAAGUCAACUGAAGCAAGGUAGCAAUAUCUUGUGGAGGUGGCGCACGGGUGAGUAACACGUAGGUAAUCUGCCUUCAGGUCUGACAUAACUCCGGGAAACCGGAGCUAAUAGCAGAUGAUGCAGCGGCUUGACAUCAAGACAGUUGUUAAAGCUUCGGCGCCUGAAGAUGAGCCUGCGUCUGAUUAGCUAGUUGGCGGAGUAAUAGCCCACCAAGGCUACGAUCAGUAACUGGUCUGAGAGGAUGAUCAGUCACACUGGAACUGAGACACGGUCCAGACUCCUACGGGAGGCAGCAGUAAGGAAUAUUGCUCAAUGGGGGAAACCCUGAAGCAGCAACGCCGCGUGAAGGAUGAAGGGCUUUUGCUUGUAAACUUCUGUAGUGAGGGAAAAAACUUCCACUCUGUGGAAUAUGAUGGUACCUCAAAAGUAAGCCCCGGCUAACUACGUGCCAGCAGCCGCGGUAAUACGUAGGGGGCAAACGUUGUCCGGAUUUACUGGGUGUAAAGGGUGCUCAGGCGGUUUUGUAAGUCAGAAGUGAAAUCCUAGAGCUUAACUCUGGAACUGCUUUUGAUACUGCAAGGCUUGAAUGUGGAAGAGGAGGAUGGAAUUUCUGGUGUAGCAGUGAAAUGCGUAGAUAUCAGAAAGAACACCAGUGGCGAAGGCGGUCCUCUGGUCCACUAUUGACGCUAAAGCACGAAAGCGUGGGGAGCAAACAGGAUUAGAUACCCUGGUAGUCCACGCCUUAAACGAUGAAUACUAGACGUUGGGGUUAAACUCAGUGUCGCAGCUAACGCAU
rnacentral:rRNA from 1 species